UUCAAAAUGAGACGGUACUACGGGUGAGAACUUUGUGAAGAAAUAGGUUGGAUUUGUGCCUACGUUGUUUUAUGGAAGAGGGUUCACUGAGAAUUCAUUCGGAAUGGUACCGUUGAGGCGACCGUUGAAGACUGUUUUGGGAACGCCAAUAGAAGUCGAAAAAAAAGAAAAUCCGACCAGUGAAGAAAUUGAUUUGGUGCAUCAGAAGUUCGUCGAAGGAUUGGUACGACUUUUGAAACAUAUAAAAACGAGUUUUUGGAAAAUCCGCAGGAAGCGUUGUUGUUAAAAUAACUCACACACAGUUUAAUUGUAAUUUAAAAUUUUAUAGUAUAGUACAGUAUAGUUUAGUUCAUUUGAACAGUUGGUACUAGUACUUAACCUUGAACAACUGUAAAGAAAUGUUAAAGUAGGGCUGUAAUUCUGCUUGUUUAUGCUAAUAACCGUUAUGACCUGGAAGUAAUGAAAAUUUUAAAAGCAACGCUGUUAUCUUAUAUGUAUAAUAAUAAUAUUUCAUAAUACCAUAUUCUUUAAAAUUUUCAAAUAUAUAUGAAUAAAACGUAAACAAA